rnacentral:lncRNA from 1 species
CAUGGCAUAUGGAAGUUUCCAGGCUAGGGGUCAAAUCAGAGCUACAGCUGCCAGCCUAAACCACAGCCACAGCAAAGGAGGAUCUGAGCCAUGUCUGCAACCUACACCACAGCUCACAGCAAGGCUGAUCCUUAACCCACUGAGCAAGGCCAGGGAUGGAACCCACAUCCUCAUGGAUACUAGUCAAAUUCGUUUUUGCUGCACCACAAAGGGAACUCCACCCCAGUUCCAGAAUUUAUAUGUUAAAACCUAAUCUCAAAUAUGACAGUAGUUGGAGGUGGGGUUUCUGGGAGGUGAUUAGGUUAUGAGGGUGGAGCCCCUCUGAGUGGAAUUAGUGACUUAUAAAGGAGAGCUCAGAGCACUUCCUCACCCCUUCUGCCAUGUGAGGGCACAUCAAGAAGAUAGCUGUCUAUCAUCAAGGAACAGGCUCUCAUUUGCUUGUGCCCUGAUCUGUGACUUCACAGCUUCCAAAACUGUGAGAAAUAAGUGUUUGUUGUUUAAGCCACCCAGUCUAUGACAUUUUUGUCAUACCAGCCCAAAUGGACAUUACUAAACAGUUAUUCAUCUAAUAUUAUGCUUCCUGCAGAAAAACACUUGGGUUUUUCUCCACAUUAAAACUAACACACAAAAAACAGUGACAACAAAAAACACCACUUGUCUAGAGAUUCAUGAUUUGUGGCAACUUGGUCAACCAUCUUGGACAAGGGAACAGUAACAGGAGUUUUUGAUUCAUACACAGUCAUGUGCAGAAAAGACAGUCCUUGAGGUCCCCUGAGUCUUGUCUUAGCUUUCUGGAUGGAUGUCCCUUUGUGCUUUUUUUUUUUUUCUUUUGCGUAGACAUGCUUCUUUCAUAUAGCUUGACCACCAGCAGCUCCCUUUCAAGUGGCCAAAGAAUAUUGUAAGACAAUAUUCCACCAACCCCCUCUGAGCAUCCCAGUACAUGUGAAAAACCAGAGCUGCCUCUUUCAAACAGCAAAUGGAGCCCAGGACAAUAAGGUUUUAAUCAUUCAUUCCAGAACACUUUGAAGCUAUAAAAGUUACUAUUAUUCUUAUAAUAGUAAAGAUUACUAAUUAACUUUUAGGUCUUUUAUAGGGGCUAUAUAUUUUUUCUAAACUUUCAACAAAAUUGAACCAAGCAAAAGUUGUAGGGUUUUUUUUUUUUUCCCUUUUCUUUUUAAACAGUUAUGCAGUAAUUUUCUCAUGUUUUCAAGUGUUACUGCCUCUGGUAACUAAUUCUGGUAUUUAAUACCUCUCAAUUCAGUUUUUUCUCUUCAGCAUCAAGGACAGUGUGGGCCAGUAUUUAACUUUUUAAACUACAAAAAUCCCCAAGCCCCACUGAGUGAGAAGUGAGGAAUCAUGCCAACCUACUUCUUCCCUGAUAGGCAGAAUGCCAUCCCUCUUCUUUUUUUUAAUUUUAUUAGGGUAUAGUUGAUUUAUGUUGUUGUGUCAACUUCUGCUAUACAGCAUAGUGACCUAGUCAUGUAUACAUUACAUUCUUUUUCUUAUACUAUCCUCCAUCAUGUUCUAUCCCAAGAGAUUGGAUAUAGUUUCCUGUGCUAUACAGUAGGACCUCAUUGCUUAUCUAUUCUAAAUGUAAUAGUUUGCAUCUACUAACUCCAAACUCCCAGACGAUCCCACUUCUUCCCCUCUCCCCCUUGGCAACCACAAGUCUGUCCUCUAUGUCCGUUAGUCUGUUUCAUACAUAGAUUCAUUUGUUAAAAGCUUUUGCACGGCAUAGGAAACCAUUUAAAAAAAAAAAAAAAGACAACCCACAGACUGGGAGAAAAUCUUUGCAAAUGAUGCAACCAAUAAGGGCAUAAUCUCCAAAAUGCACAAACAACUCAUACAAUUCAACAACAACAAAAAACAAACAACCCAAUUGGAAAAGGGGCAGAAGACCUAAACAGACAUUUUUCCAAAGACAUACAGACGGCCAGUAGGCACUUGAAAAAAAAUUUCAACAUCACUAAUUAUUAGAGAAAUGCAAAUCAAAACUACACAAUCAAAUUCCAUAUUAAGCACCUCCUAUGCUUCUAACAGUACCUUAGUCACUCUGGUGAAUAUAAAAAUAGAAGGUAAUAUUUACUGGUAGAAAUUGCAGUGAUCCCAGAAACUUUUAAGGCAGAUAUUGGUUUUCCUACGAAGGCCACAUCUUAUCUUUCUUUGAGCUCAGAAUCUCCUUGGAUCUUGCAGACUACAUUGUCUUCCUAGGCUUUGUGAAAGAAACAAGACAUAAUAAUGGCAAAGGCAAAGUAAUGGUAAUAAUAAUAGUGAAUACGAGUCUUGGGAGAGAGGAACCACAAUGCAGAAGAUCGGACUUAAACACACUUGCUAUCCCAAGAGAUCAUAAACUAUAGUGACCCAAGUGUUUAUUGUGAGACUCACAUUCACCUAUGUGAUUUUCAUUUCAUCUCUCCCAACUGACAUCAGUUAUUACCUACCUUUUAGAUUCAGAAAACUCUGUAGAGUUUCUAAGUUGGGUAGAAGUCACAAAGAGAAAGGGGAGUCCACAGUCUUACUACCCAAAGUGUGGCCCAGGACCAGCAGCAGUAGCAUCACCUGAGACCUAUUAGAAAUGCAGACUGCUAGGCCCCACCCCAGACCUACUAAAUCAGAAUCUGCAUUCUGACAAGAUCCUCUGGGCGACUCUUCCACACACUAAAACUUGAAAAAUCUCUGGUCUGCAGCAUUUGAUAAUUUGAAAAAGCUUUCAAAACUACCUGGAGUUCCUGGUUGUAAUUUCUAGAAUGUGAAAGAGAAUUUAUAAUGCAUGUACACGUCUUCCCUGCAGUACAGCAUGAAGACUUUCUGAUUUGUGACUGAAAUAAGAAGACAUCUUAUAAGAUCUGUCUCUACUGAUAUGAAUUGUCCGACAGUGAAAUUUGUCAUGCCAUGUAUGCUUUCACUGAAAGGAUUUAUGGGCUUAUCAAAUUUAAAAUAGUUACAUUUAUUUUAAUAACACUUAACAUGAACAUGAAUUAUGCAACCACAUUAAGGAAAGAAUAAGGAAAAUAAAACCAGUUCCUAUAAAACAACUUUGUCACUCAAAUGUGCCCAAAACAAAAUCUUGGACAAACAUGGCUUUUCUUUUUCUCUUUUCCAAAAUAUUCCAUUAAAUAGAUUUAACUUUGUCUUUCAAACUGUCCUAACCACAGAAUGAUUUUGUAAUAUACUUAAAUCCAUAUGGCUCAUUCUAUUAUAAAAUGCCCACAAAAAGUGAAGGGAAAGAACACAGUUUUCUUCUGAAGAACUUAUUUGACGUGAUAAAAUAGACUAAAAUGAGGCUAUUGCAAGGGUUAAACUUACAUUCCAUGUCCUCCAAAAAAUCUAAUGAAAUCUGGGCCUUCUGGGAAGGGUGGAGAAAAUUUUAUAGAAAAUGAAGACUCUGAGGAAAACAAUCUCCAUGGGUAGUUCAAGAGGAAUGAGAACCUAUCUAUAGCAUUUAGGAUUUAGGUUAAAAAUGAGGAAAGUUUCCUGACAAUUAAGAUUAUUAAAUUCAUAAAUUAGCAUUAUAUGGAAAUUUAAGAGGACAUAAUGUUAAUAGCAUUUGCUUCUUUGGAGUCAUGAGGUUGAUUUAUUUUUAUUGGGGUUCUUGUUUUAAGAAUAAUAAUCAUUGAUAUUGUUGUUAUUAUAAUGGCAAUAAGUGAAUAUGAACAAUAUACCAGGCCCUGUGCUUUGUGCUUUACAUGCAUUGUAGGUUCUAUAACUAUACUCAUUUUAUAGAUGGAAAGAACUGGUUCUAGGAGAAGUUAAAUGACUUACCCAAGGUCAGAAAGGCAGUUAGGGGUGGGAUCAGGAUUUCUACAAGGCAGCUUCCCUUCUGCCAAUCAGCACACUAUACAUAACUGUACUGCCUCCUGAUACCCUUACAUGGUGACAAGCAAGAAUGGGAGACCAAAAUUGGCUUAACUUUGUGCUGCGUCAAAUAGCCUUCCAGGGAAACUAUAGUCAACAUUGGGAAAGACCUUAGGCGUAUAAAGAUAACAUCUAGUUAACCAGGUGGUUGAAACGUUGACUUUGCUCCUUGUCUGUUCAAUGUGUCACCAGUCACCAGGCGCAGCCCACCAGGCUGAGAGAUAAUUUAGGCUGCUUCAGAGUCUUCAUAUGCCAUCGACAUGGCCCUUACCUUAUCAAGACCCAGAAACAAAGCAGUUCUGGAGACACUGUGACGCUCACUCCCCAUUGCACUAACCAACCAUGAUCUGUCAGUGUGUAGCACGACUAGAACAACAAACACAUCCUCUCUCUCUCAACUACACACAAACCAAAUGACAAAAAUUUUCAUCAGAAGACCAUCAGGAGAGCCUAAAACUGAGCUGAUGCCAUCGUUACUAUAAAGUAAAUAGAGUGGACUUAAUGUUUCUAGAAUAUAUCUAGAUCAAGUACGAUAACAUAUGGAAGGCCCAGCCGGUGUGCAGAACAUCAGAGGUACUCAGCAAAUGUCAGUUCUUCCCUCUGUCCACUCUCCUUAAUUACAGGGCUCUCACAUAUUUUAUUUUACUUCUGAAUUGGAGAGUCGAGGGCAUGAUCCCUUUAGAAAAAGCCAGGAGAUAACCCAUUGUGAAGGAAACAGAUUGGAGUUAGAAGUGACAGAGCGGCAAUGGAGAUAUUUAUAAGGUGUCUCCACUUUAUAAAAGGCAGCUCAAUUCCAUGAGAGCAAAGGAAGGUGAGUAUACAUCAAGACUUAACACAAGAUAGCAGAAAAGAUCUGAGAGCUAAUGCAGAAAUUUGACACCUGACCACUAUAAACUGCCUUGUGCUGUAAGAAACCAUGAAUCAUUUGAUGACACUAAAUGCCUGGGGUUUACUGGACUGUUACCAGUAGCUUAUGAUAAAUGGACAAUACUGAACUGACCAAAAGCCAUGAAAAUGAUCCAAGUGUUCACAGGAAGGUCCAAAUAGAUUAACAAUUAAAGUGGGUUCAGAAAACAUUUUACCUUAGAAAACACCUUGCUUGUACUUAGAAGCUUCAAAAUGGAUUUCUUAGUUACAAGGGAAAUAACCAAGUUAUACAUUAACUUCUUAAAUUAUAUUUUAUAUUAUAAAAAUGUUAUUGUAAUCAUUAAGAUGCUUGUUUUUCUCAGUAACUCAUCCUAGAAGCAAGUCUAACAUAUAGGCCUCUGUGCUCUAGUCAGUCAGUAGAAGGCAAACAAUCUAAAAGGAGUAAGUUACUUUAGCAAAGUGUUUCUCAAAUUUUUGAAACUCAUAUCCUUCUUUAAAUAUUCUACAAAAAUCAAAGAAAAAUCAAUAUUAUUAUUUGCAUUGGAUCAAAACAAUGGAAAUAGCAACGCUUUGUUUUCCAACCACAUGGCCCCUCUCCACCACUAUGACAUCAGAGCCAGCAGUACAGGGACGUAGUACAUGGCUGCUCACUUGCGCUUGAAGAAUCUUUGCUCUCUUACUCAUCCCAAAAUACGGCUGACUGCUACCUACAGAAAAGAAAUAUUCCCAUUGACCAAAUUUCAGAGUUCUAAUCUGCUUCACUCUCACUAAAUACUUUAAAGAAUUACUUAAAAGAGUAAGUAAUUACUUAAAAGAAUAAGCAACCUCGCUGGUCUUAAAAGAAGCCUAAGUAAACUGCAAAAAGAAAUAUGUAAACUCUUCUAUUUUAAAAAUAAUUACAUCUUAGAAAUUGUAUAUGCAAAUUUGCAAAGUAUUUGUUGUCC